UCGAGCGUCAUUUCAACCAAUCCAGCCCUCGGCUGGGUCUUGGGGCCUGCGGUUUCGCAGCCUCUAAACACAGUGGCAGUGCGAUUGAGCUCUGAGCGUAGUAAAUUUUCUCGCUAUAGGGUCUCGGUCGUUACUCGCCAGUAACCCCCCAUUUUUAUCAGGUUGACCUCGGAUCAGGUAGGGAUACCCGCUGAACUUAA
rnacentral:misc_RNA from 1 species